CAUCAUUUUCUCAUUUUAUCAUUUUAUCAUUUUAUCAUUUCCUCAUUUUAUCAUUUCAUUAUUUUAUUGGUUCAUGUUUUAUCAGCUCUAGAAAGUCCUAUUUUAUUGGCUAUUCCAUUGUGUGUGCAUUUGCACAUCUGUGUUUGUCAGCAAUGGACGCAACCACCACAACAAGUAUAUCUGAACACAUUAUUCAUUCAUUAGAAGGAGUGUCCACAAUCAUUUGGACGUAUAGUGUAUGUAUGUACAGUAUAUAUUGCAUGCUGGAUUGAUAUGUUCUGUAUCAUUUUAUUUAUUCAUUUUAAUUUUGGUUCUGGUUCUGUUUGUGAACCCAAGGGAAGCAGAGGAGUCCCCGGACACAACGGAAAGACCGGACCCAAAGGCCAACGAGGCCGAGCAGGUCAGCACGGACCUCCUGGUAUUCAUGGACUGCUGGUAGGUUCUCAAAUUAAAUGUGUGUAUAUAAAUAUGUAUACGUAUAUUUUUAUAUAGGUCUUUAGAUCUCUUUCUCUCUCCGUGUUUUCUGGUACAUGGCAUGUGUUGUGUGUCUCUAUGUUGGCAGGGUUUGAGAGGCCCACCAGGAGAAGAGGGAGCAGAAGGAAAGCCUGGUACACAGGUUCCCAUUUCAUAAGUUAUCUCCACAUUUGAAUAUUGUUACAGCCACAUGCUCUUUACUACAUAC
rnacentral:lncRNA from 1 species